rnacentral:rRNA from 1 species
UGCCGUUGCCGGCGACCGGCGCACGGGUGAGUAACACGUAUGCAACCUGCCCGUGGCAGGGGGAUAAGCGGGGGAAACCCCGUCUAAUACCGCGUAACGCGGCCUUGGGGCAUCCCAAGGCCGCCAAAGGGAGCAAUCCCGGCCACGGAUGGGCAUGCGGCGCAUUAGCUAGUCGGCGGGGUAACGGCCCACCGAGGCGACGAUGCGUAGGGGUUCUGAGAGGAAGGCCCCCCACACUGGUACUGAGACACGGACCAGACUCCUACGGGAGGCAGCAG